rnacentral:lncRNA from 1 species
AUGACAGACUCAAAGCAUAAAAGUAUCUAUAAGCAGCUCUUAGAUGCAGUGGUCCUAGGUAUUUGUCAUGCUCGAGCUCUAGUACACUGAUCCAUACCUGAAUGAGAAAAUAUGACCAAAUAUAAUUAACGACUCGAACACUAUUUGAGUCCAUAACACAUCCUGGACACAUGCAAGACGCGAUUGGGCUAUUUGUGAAAAUUAACUUAUGUGGCCAAGAGUGGCUAGAAGUGUAAACUCAACAAGAUUAACCUCAUAGACAUGGAAAAUGCCUCACUAAGGCUUAUAUGGAUUCAAACUCUCCAUAAUCAUGACCCAAAAUUAAUUUACAAAAAUGACCCAUUUUGCAGAAACGACCGAUAUGGCCAGAAGUGGCUAAAGAUGCAAACUCAAUAAGGACGGACCUUAAAGUAAUAUGACACCUAGAUAUGGACUCAAGAUCCUAAGACAUGGGUUAUUGAACCACUUUUGCGAAAAUGACCCCAUUUUGCAAGAAUGGCCGAUGUGGCCAAAAGUGGCUAGACAUGCAAGAUAUGGAUAAGACCCCGCAAAGCCAAGAACCUAAGACUCACUAGGAAGACCGGACCCUAUGUGGGUUGCCUACAUAUCUCGCCCCGAAAGACGAGAAUCAGGUAUGCGUAGUUCGGGAGGAUUGGAAAUGGGAGAAAGCUUUAAAAAAUGCAACUAAUUUAGAAAAACUAUAUUUUUUGUCUUUUUUGAAAAAUGAUGCAAAAUCUUUUUGGAUUUUUUUUCUCUUUUAUUUUAUUUUUGGAAAUGAUGGUAAAGUGCAAAUUUGUUUUGUAUUUUCUUGAAAAAGUUGUGAAAGAAAAAUAUAAUUGGACCCUACUUGCUUCAUUUUUCACCCUUCUUUCCUAAGCAUCGGUCCGCCAAAUGACCUUUUUACCCUCAAAUAUGCAACAUGUAUCACAUAGGGAUGAUUGAACGUCUUUUUGGGCCACGGGCCCAUUUUUGACAAAAUUUGGAUAGGCUUCCUACAAAGGGAUACGGUACCUGGGACCGAGCCCUGCUAGGUCUAAAUGACAUGAUGAAAAUAAAAAUGACCUAAAGGCUGACCUAAGUUUGGGGUUCACUAACAAGGCAUUUCAGGGGAGCGUAUGAUCGAUGGUGGCUGCUCAAGCUUUCCACCCACUCCAUACGUCUGACGGCCCUCCCCUCCUAAAUUAAGGGCGACUCAACAAAGAGUUCGUGCAUGCGAUGCGUACUCCGAGACUUGUUGCAGAAAGAAGACCCAUGGUUAUGCAAAUGAUGGCAAUUUAUAAAGCAAUAACACAUAAAGGAAAAACUGUAAACAAAUAAGCAACUAGCAAAUAAUAAAACGACAUAAAAUAAAAUAAAAUAAAGCAAACAAAACACAUAAAAACCUCAACCGAAAAUCCUAAAAAGCCAAGAGGAUCAAGUACUAUCUCGAACCUGCAAGUCCCCAGCAGAGUCGCCAGAGAUGUCACACCCCCUUUUUUAACCAAACUUCACUAAACCCUCUUAAAUAAAUAAAAAUAUUUAGUAAAUCUUGAAAAGGGUUUUACAAUUAGAACGUGACAAAAAUUGUGUUCAAAAGGAAAUAACUCAGAGUCGUCACCUGACUUUAAUUUCGGUGUGUCAGGUCACUGUUUUUUUUAGAAAAUGAUUUUUUCCUUUAAAAUAAUUUGGACUCCAAAACUAAGUCCACACCAAAGAUUUGGGUAAGGGGGUUUAUUUGACUCGGGGAGAAGGUAUUAGGCACUCCCCAAGCCCGUAACUAGUAUGGUUGCACACUUGAUCUAGUCGACUUUUAGAAUGUUUGAAUUGAGGUAAAAACACACAAAGGAAAAUAAACAUCCAAAAGGUUUGAGGUCGUCCCUUCCUAAUAAAAGAAAAAUAAAAUAAAAUGAAAUAAGUCCUCCUAGCCUAUACUAUGCCUCCAUUGAUGAUGCCACGAUCUCCAUUUAUAUUUACUUCGGGGCAUUCCUCGGAUAAAAAUAUAUACAAAUCCUUCGAGGCAUUUUUCGGAUAAAUUUAACUAAGGGGAACGACCUCUCGCCUCAAAACUAACAAAAUCCUAAGGUUUGCCUACCCGGGUGUGGUCGGCCUAAGUACGUUCCUAACGAAAUUAGCGAACAACGAAAUUAAUUUAAAUUACGACUCAACUUAACAAAUUGGCAUGGUAAAAUAGUAAUCCAACGGCAAACUCGAGUACCAUUAAUUCUAAUCACUGUUGUGGUUUAUUUUGUGCUCUCGAUGAGUUUUAGCCCAAAAUUGUUAACCACACAGACCAUGUACAUUCAUCACUCUAAAGAAAACCAAUCAAAUUCACUUCAGUUUACAAAUAAUGUAUCAAAUAUAAGCUGACAAACAUAAAUAAAUCAGACUAAGGAGAUUUUAAACACACCACGAGCAGAACAACCAUUCGACAUUCAUAAUCAGCAAAGAUUGAGCACAGAACACAUAUAAAAAAUUCAAAAUCAAAGUAAGAGAUGAACCUCAAAAUGAUAGCUUUUUCCGAUUAUAGUAGUAGUGACGGAACAGGAAUCAAGAACAGAGUUUGACCGGAAAUCCUCGUCGGCAACCUCGUGCUCCGACCAAGCACCGAAAAAUUUCGAAUCGAACACAAAACGCCUCAACUACUCCAUUCCGAUACAACUUCUGAAAUUUAUAUAGCCAUAAAGUCCAAACACUGUAGCUCUCAAUUUUUGACAAUAAACACGAUGAGAAAUGAAGUAGAGCUACGAAUUUGAAUUUGGAAAGUAAGAUUUAGCAAUUGUUUUCACUUUUCAUAUUGUACGACUUUUGUAGAAUUGAAUCUGGGAAUUAACGUGUGGUACUUUGUUAUGAUUGCUAAUGGGUUUCUCUUGUUCCUCUCCCGAUUUUGGAUAGAGAUUCGUCGUCCCCUCUUACUAUUGUUCCCUCUCCUUUUCUUCUAUUCACGUCCCUCUGUUUAUGUUGCUAUGUGUGUGCAUGAGUGGUGAGGAGCGAAUCUGGGGGAUUGCGACUGUUGGGAAUGGCUAGAGACGGGGCGUUCUGGUUUUGGAGAAGAGGAGGUUGUUGGUUUGGUCCUGGACAACAGAGGGAUCGGCGGCUGGAGUAUUGUUUGUGUUGUUGGCGGGGAGAGCGAGUUUUGUGGUUGUGGAGAUUAGGUUCGUUGGUGUGGUGGUGUGGUGGGCGGCUAGUUUUGGUUUUGAAGAGUCUCCUCCAGUUGUCUUGUGUAAUCAGUUGAAGAAGAUGAAGGUCUUCUCCAUGUGAAAUACGGCUGAACCCCUCCCUCUAGGUCUAGGUUUUUUGAUUUUUCUUGUAUAUUAUCUUAAAUGGGUGUCUAGGUUUGGGCUUUUGAGUUAAUGGGCUAAGGGAUUGGUU